rnacentral:rRNA from 1 species
UAGGGAAUCUUCCACAAUGGACGCAAGUCUGAUGGAGCAACGCCGCGUGAGUGAAGAAGGUUUUCGGAUCGUAAAGCUCUGUUGUUGGUGAAGAAGGAUAGAGGCAGUAACUGGUCUUUAUUUGACGGUAAUCAACCAGAAAGUCACGGCUAACUACGUGCCAGCAGCCGCGGUAAUACGUAGGUGGCAAGCGUUGUCCGGAUUUAUUGGGCGUAAAGCGAGCGCAGGCGGAAUGAUAAGUCUGAUGUGAAAGCCCACGGCUCAACCGUGGAACUGCAUCGGAAACUGUCAUUCUAGAGUGCAGAAGAGGAGAGUGGAAUUCCAUGUGUAGCGGUGGAAUGCGUAGAUAUAUGGAAGAACACCAGUGGCGAAGGCGGCUCUCUGGUCUGCAACUGACGCUGAGGCUCGAAAGCAUGGGUAGCGAACAGG